rfam:Triticum aestivum genome assembly, contig: Triticum_aestivum_CS42_TGACv1_scaffold_320552_4BL
AACAUAUUACCUCCGUCCUAAAUUACUUGUCUUAGAUUUGUCUAGAUAUAGAUGUAUCUAGACACAUUUUAAUGUUAGAUACAUCCAUGUAUAUAGACAAAUCUAAACAUGUCUAGAUACAUAAUCUAAGACAAGUAAUUCUGGAUGGAGGGAGUACAUC